AGUACCCGGAGGAAACCCCCAAGGCACGGGGAGAACACGCAAACUCCACACACACAAGGUGGAGGUGGGAAUCGAACCCCGACCCUGGAGGUGUGAGGCGAAUGUGCUAACCACUAAGCCACCGUUCCCCCCUUAAUAAUAAAAAGCCUGAGGUGACUGUGGUGAGGAAACAAAGAAACCUUGAGAGGAACCAGACUCAAAUGGGAACCUCAUCCUCAUUUGGGUGACACUGGAGGGCGUCAUCGGGCAUCAAGGCAGGAUACCCCCUGGACGGAGUGCCAACCCAUCGCAGGACACACACACACACUCUCAUUCACUCACGCAAUCACACACUAGGGACAAUUUUCCAGAGAUGCCAAUCAACCUACCAUGCAUGUCUUUGGACUGGGGGAGGAAACCGGAGUACCCGGAGGAAACCCCCGAGACACGGGGAGAACAUGCAAACUCCACACACACAAGGUGGAGGCGGGAAUCGAACCCCGACCCUGGAGGUGUGAGGCGAACGUGCUAACCACUAAGCCACCGUGCCCCCUUAUUCUGACUUACUCUGUUCUUAUUUUGAUUUUGUAUCUCAUUAUUCUGAAUUAGAAACUUACUGUUAAUUCGUUGUAUUGAGCCUGUGCCUUAUUUAAACACUGAUUAGCAGCAUUAUAUAAGCUCCAGUGUUGAUUGUAGUGUUGUUAUUGUGUUGCCAUGUGUACCAUAAUCUUGCUCAUAUGUCUGCAUGUCUUCCUGCAUGUCUUUCAUUGUAUUUUCUGUACAGGUUCACGCCUCUGGAGUUUACAGUUGUAGUUGUUGUUUUGCAAUCCAUAUAGCAAAAAUCUGUACUUGCAAUUUAUUUGAUCAACAUUUUUUUCUUUUCUGCAUAUGAACUCACAGGAUGCUAUAUUGCUUAUGAACGUAGGUGAUAUUUUCUGCAUAUGGUCUGUAUGAGACGAAAACCUUUUUAUGACAUCCCAUACAGUAAGAAGCUCUUCCAUAACCAAAUGACUUGUUAUUCAGAAUGUAACCAAUAACAAAUGCUAAUAAAGGACUGAGUUUCCACUACUAACUAAUCAUUUAAAUAAAUCUUACAUUUUUUUGGUUCAUGCUGUUUGUUAUAGGAAAAUUAUCAAUGCCUGCAAUGUGUUUGUGUGUUGUUAGAGAUGACAAGACACGUGUCUGUGAUAAUUAUUUCAGCAGAGAUCUUACAGUUUUGUAAAAAGAACUGCAUAUUUAUGGAUUAUGAGAUAAAUAGUGGUUCGUUUGAUUUAGUGCUCCUAAUCUACCACUGAGUAUUUAGUACCCAUUUAUUCUUGCUUGCUUCACUGAUUGGGGUUUGUCUUCUGCUUCUUCUGUUUCUAUAGCAUUUAUGGAGAUGUAUUUAAUACUUACAUGGCUACCUCACCUAUUUGCUAGCUUUAAUACAGUAUAUUUCAAGCUGCUAUACUUUGCUGCUUCUAAUGAGAUUUUCAUAAGGCAUAGAGUCAGGAAAAUGGUUAAUUUGAUUUAGAUUGGUUGUUAAAUGGAUCCAUUUUGCACAGAAAAAAAAAAACAGAACAUUGCAGAAAAACAGUUUCACUCUGCCAACUCACAUGUUCAAGAGAGA